UACAGAGGUCUCAAGCGUUGUUCGGAUUCAUUGGGCGUAAAGGGUGCGUAGGCGGCGCGGUAAGUCGGGUGUGAAAUCUUGGAGCUUAACUCCGAAACUGCAUUCGAUACUGCCGUGCUUGAGGACUGGAGAGGAGACUGGAAUUUACGGUGUAGCGGUGAAAUGCGUAGAUAUCGUAAGGAAGACCAGUGGCGAAGGCGGGUCUCUGGACAGUUCCUAA
rnacentral:rRNA from 1 species